UGGGAAAUAUUGCACAAUGGGCGGAAGCCUGAUGCAGCAACGCCGCGUGCGGGAUGACGGCCUUCGGGUUGUAAACCGCUUUCGCCUGUGACGAAGCGUGAGUGACGGUAAUGGGUAAAGAAGCACCGGCUAACUACGUGCCAGCAGCCGCGGUGAUACGUAGGGUGCGAGCGUUGUCCGGAUUUAUUGGGCGUAAAGGGCUCGUAGGUGGUUGAUCGCGUCGGAAGUGUAAUCUUGGGGCUUAACCCUGAGCGUGCUUUCGAUACGGGUUGACUUGAGGAAGGUAGGGGAGAAUGGAAUUCCUGGUAGAGCGGUGGAAUGCGCAGAUAUCAGGAGGAACACCAGUGGCGAAGGCGGUUCUCUGGGCCUUUCCUGACGCUGAGGAGCGAAAGCGUGGGGAGCGAACAGGCUUAGAUACCCUGGUAGUCCACGCUGUAAACGGUGGGUACUAGGUGUGGGGUCCAUUCCACGGGUUCCGUGCCAUAGCUAACGCUUUAAGUACCCCGCCUGGGGAGUACGGCCGCAAGGCUA
rnacentral:rRNA from 1 species